AUUUAUAUAAUAUAAAUAUUAUAUUUGACUUCCAAUCAGAAAAUCUAAAUUUUUUUAGUAUAAAUA
rnacentral:tRNA from 1 species